GCAGUCCGGAGAAAGUGUGGCUCAUCUUAGAGCAGCUGCGGGUCCAGAGGAAAAUCAUAAGAAAGUGGGGAGGAGCGGGGUCAGGAGGAAGGAAGCAGAAUGUCCAGAACUCUGCUGCGGCCCGCCGGGCUCAGACAGCUCCUACUGCUGUGGCUGCUGCUGCCCCACGCACCUGGGGCCGGGGUCGAGGCCAGGACCGUCCGGCCCGCGCCGCCCUGCCCCGCGGUCUGCGAGCCAAUGCGCUGCCCCCCGCUGCCCUCCUGCUCCGCGGGACGGCGCCAGUGCUUGACCGCUGCGGCUGCUGCCGCGUCUGCGCCGCGGCCGAGGGCGAGGCUUGCGGCGCCGCGCUCCGCCGGCCGUGCGCCCCGGGGCUGCAGUGCCUCGCGCCGCCCUCACCGCGGCUCCUUGGCAGCAGCGGGCUCGGUACCUGCCGCUGCCCGGCGGCGGGGGCCGCGGUGUGCGGCAGCGACGGGCGCACGUACCCCAACCUGUGCGCGCUCCGCGCCAGGAACCACGCUGCACGUCUCCGCGGCGGGCUCCCGGCGGUGCACGUGCAUGAGGUGGACUGUGGGGACCCAGGGACCAGAAGCGCGGGCUGGCUCAGGAGCAAGUACAACUUCAUCGCAGAGGUGGUGGAGAAGGUGGCGCCGUCGGUGGUCCACUUACAGCUGUUCAGCAGGUAAAGGAGGCCAAGGGAGACGUCAACUCCUUGGGUUGUUUCCCAGCGUCUUCCUGCUCCAGGCCCGACUCUACCGCUCUUCCAGCACUGUUUAGUCCUAAAAACCCCGCUGUGAGGAAAUCCAGCGGCUCCAAGAGGUUGAAUUGCCCGUUAGUUGUUAGUCGUUUAGCCAAAGGGCGGAGGCACAGAGAUUCUGACUUUCAAAUCGAGGCAACCCCUCUCCUUCAAAUUCAAGGUCAGAUAUUAGUGAUAGAGGGCCUCUUGAUGGUACUCUUGCUCGGCCUCUUCUUUUUCGUGGAGGGAAUCCCAGAACCAGCGAGCAAGAGGAAUUUGUCCUAUGUCACAAGGCGGAUUAGGAGAGGAACCCACGCUGGAACCAGACUUCUUUAACUCCCUCCCUGCCUGGGUGCUGGAUAAUGUUGCCCUAGGUCCACUUUUGUCCCCAGUAUGACCAUCAGGUUAGUUUUCCUUGAAGCAGAGGGCUGUGGCUCUGACCUGCUUUCACGAAGAGGGUAUCCCUGGAAUUCCUGCUUUGGUGCAGUGAGUUAAUGAUCUCUCAUCCGGGUGGAGGUGCUGGUUCCAUGCCUGGCCAGGUGCACUGGGUAAAAGAUCCCACUUGCUGCAGCUGUGGCGGGUGUGGGUCUCCCAAUUGAAUUAGAUCCCUGGCCCUGGAAGGAGAUGGCUGAAAAAUAAGAAGCGGGUGUUCCUAGAAAAAGAGAGUUGGAAUCAGCUUUCAGUCCUGUUUCCAAGACGUGGCCAGGGCACUGAUAUACCAAGUGAAGUUACACAUGGAGAGAAUGGAAACAGGGAAAAGUAAAAUGUCUGAGGAAGCAGUGGUGGAAGAAUGUUGGCUAAAUGAGAGGUUCCUGUGCUUCCAGACUGCGCUGGAUGCUGU
rnacentral:lncRNA from 9 species